rnacentral:rRNA from 1 species
AAUCAACGCUGGCGGCGUGCCUCAGACAUGCAAGUCGAACGAUUAAAGCUCUCUUCGGAGAGUGUAUAGAGUGGCGCACGGGUGAGUAACACGUAAGUAAUCUACCCUCGAGUGGGGAAUAACGUCCGGAAACGGACGCUAAUACCGCAUAAUGCAGCGGCACCGCAAGGUGACAGUUGUUAAAGAUUUAUCGCUUGAGGAGGAGCUUGCGGCAGAUUAGCUAGUGGUAAGGUAAUGGCUUACCAAGGCUACGAUCUGUAACCGGUCUAAGAGGACGGUCGGUCACACUGACACUGAAUAACGGGUCAGACUCCUACGGGAGGCAGCAGUCGGGAAUUUUGGGCAAUGGGCGAAAGCCUGACCCAGCAACGCCGCGUGAAGGAUGAAGUAUUUCGGUAUGUAAACUUCGAAAGAAUAGGAAGAAUAAAUGACGGUACUAUUUAUAAGGUCCGGCUAACUACGUGCCAGCAGCCGCCGUAAC